UACGGAGGGUGCGAGCGUUGUCCGGAUUUAUUGGGUUUAAAGGGUGCGUAGGCGGCCCCUUAAGUCAGUGGUGAAAGCCCGGGGCUCAACCCCGGAACCGCCAUUGAUACUGGGGGGCUUGAGUACAGACGAGGUAGGCGGAAUUGAGGGUGUAGCGGUGAAAUGCUUAGAUACCCUCAAGAACACCGGAUUGCGUAGGCAGCUUACUAGGCUGUAACUGACGCUGAGGCACGGAAAGCGUGGGGAGCGAACAGG
rnacentral:rRNA from 1 species